rnacentral:miRNA from 12 species
UGAAGUAGAACUGCUCUGUGGAUUAGGUAGUUUCAUGUUGUUGGGCUCGGUUUUAGUCGCAAGGACAUCGAACUGCCUGGUUCAC